rnacentral:rRNA from 1 species
CAGCAGCCGCGGUAAUACGUAGGGGGCAAGCGUUGUCCGGAAUCAUUGGGCGUAAGGCGCGUGUAGGCGGCUCGAUAAGUCUGCUGUGAAAGUCCAGUGCUCAACCCUGGGAUGCCGGUGGAUACUGUCGAGCUCGAGUCCGGAAGAGGCGAGUGGAAUUCCUGGUGUAGCGGUGAAAUGCGCAGAUAUCAGGAGGAACACCAAUGGCGAAGGCAGCUCGCUGGGACGUGACUGACGCUGAGACGCGAAAGCGUGGGGAGCAAACAGGAUUAGAUACCCCUGUAGUCCCUGUCUCUUAUAC